UCAAUGUCAAAUUAAAAUGUAGUUUGUAUUUUAACGUAUAAUCAACAUUUAGAAUGUUAUUUUUUUCAACCAAGUUUAAAUUUCUUUAACUCAACCUCAACUUGAUAUGAAAUUUCAUAGAAAUAAUUGUACAAGAUUUAUUAAAGUUUACCUCCAUGGUGGGGUAUAAAAAAAACUCAUAGGCCUAUUAUGAGAGCAUAUGAUCUUUAAUCAUUAUGGUAAUUACAUUGGUUCUCUGUCCUUGAAAGUGUGGCAAGUAAUGGGCUAAUCGGAUUAGGUCAUUAGGUACAGACCAAUCAGAAACAAAUGCUCAUGUUUUGAAGUAUGUAUCAGUUGCUGUAAAGCUGUCUUCAUACACAGUUUACAUACUAAAGAAUUUCACCAUUAUCAAAUAAAUGGUUUUCAAUCCAUUGACAGGAAGCCAUGUUUGUUGCAAUAUAUUGUUUGUGGUAGACACUCGGAAGAAACCGACUAUUGAAUGUGUAUUAUUUGUCUCCUGGUACAAAACUGAUGGAAGAGCAGCCAUGAUGAAGCAGUAAAAAGGUUUUUGGAUACCUUGCUUCAAUACCUCUGGUCGGACAAGAAAAGACCUGGCUAAGGAGUAGAGCUUCAAAUAAUUUAUCACCAAGAAAGUUACUGAUUUAAUCCGAAUCCUGUGACGCGAAAGAUUCUUAAUUAAGCUAAGUGUGCAAUAUUAGGUCAGUUAAGACGACAGUAAUGCAUAGGUAUAUUUUGAAAUCUAGACAUAGUAGCUGUUGUUAUAUUAUUGAUUUAAACAUGCCUGUAUAGUACAAUGCAUACUAUUUUAUGUUUUCUGCAAGUUUCAAUUAAAGAAAAAUGGUCAAGUA